CCUACGGGUGGCUGCAGUGAGGAAUAUUGGUCAAUGGGCGCGAGCCUGAACCAGCCAAGUAGCGUGAAGGAUGACUGCCCUACGGGUUGUAAACUUCUGUUAUAAAGGAAUAAAGUGAGGCACGUGUGCCUUUUUGUAUGUACGUUAUGAAUAAGGAUCGGCUAACUCCGUGCCAGCAGCCGCGGUAAUACGGAGGAUACGAGCGUUAUCCGGAUGUAGUGGGUUUAAAGGGAGCGUAGAUGGGUUUUUAAGUCAGUUGUGAAAGUUUGCGGCUCCACCGUAAAAUUGCAAUUGAUACUGGCAGUCUUGAGUACCGUUGAGGUAGGCGGCAUUCGUGGUGUAGCGGUGAAAUGCUUCGAUAUCACG
rnacentral:rRNA from 1 species